rnacentral:lncRNA from 1 species
ACCUAAGCAUUGCACACUGGAAGGAGUCUUGUCUACUAAAAUUAUUCAACUUCUCUAGUGGCUACUCUUGGAUACAUACGAAAAAAGAAAUUAUGUUUCCCGGCCUAAUCUUUUCCUUACAAGCUGUAUUUUGCACUUGAACCCCCAACUUUAACCAAUACAAAACCAUUAUAAAAAUAAAAUUUUUUCAGAUCAGGGAGACCAAGAUUGUUCCAGCAGAAUUCUGACUCAUAUUUGAUCAAGUUAGGAAUAUUAGUAAGUUCAAAGAGAGAAGUUCUGCUUAUCAGACUUGUUAAAAACUAAGAAGCUAUUCCUGUAUUUCCGCAUAUGGUGAAACUCGCUGUAUAGAUUUCAAUGGUACUUGAAGCAACACCUACAUUAACCAGGGUCCACUGAAUGUUUUACUGUAAUCUCCUUUCGUCUUCUGCUCUAGAAGGGGAAAACAGCACCUCAGUGCUCACCUUAUCUUCUCUGAAAUCACAGGAAAUAACACUUUCUGGAUUUGGUCCCCAUCAACCUGGAAUCUUCAAUACAGUUAUUACUUGGUACCCAUC